rnacentral:lncRNA from 10 species
GCGGCGGCGGCGGCGGCGGGACUGGCCCUGCGCCCGGGCACCGCCUGCGCUGCGCCGCCCGGCCUCACUCCGCGGCCCGCCAGGACCCGGCCCCGGUGAACGGGCUCGGGGUGCCGAGGUCCGGCUGCGGGGCCGGGAAGCCACCUCCACCUUGCCGUCUGUUACGACCCCCGAGGCGCAAGGCUGAGCCCCAUCUCGCUAUCCGGGUCCGGAGGGGUUCACCUUAGAAGGAUUUUUUGAAGCUCUUGGCGCUGGCUCUAAAAGAACCCACUUCCUUGCGGAUUUCAGGAGUCAAGAAUCCUUAAACGGAGCCAAUUUGCUUUGUAAAGCCAAUUGCCCAAGUGACUUGAGUUCGAAAGGAGAUACUUCCUGGACAACUGCUAUAAAAACAACAACAAAUACUUUUAUUAAUUCGGGGAGCCUGGUCACCAACUGGAUGCUCAGGGGAGAUGGAACCCUGAGCAGCCCAUGUACAUGGAAGAUCUUUAUUGCAGAGAUCUUCAAACCAGAACAAAACAAUCAGCAGGCGGGUCUGCGGCAUUCUAAGAACAGACACUGGCAGGAACAAAGGUUACAGAAGUGAAUGACUCUAAGAAUCAAGCAAGACAUGGAGUGGCAGAAAAUUAAAUUCUGAAUCCCUAAAAGACAUGAUGCAAAGAUGACCUCCUCUCCCAAGGACAUGUCCUCAUCCUGCGCUGACCGUGUGUGGUCAUUUCAGAAAAAGCGAACAAUGGAGAACCUGCUUGAAUGAUACUUAGACCUGGGACAACUGAAAGGAGUUGCACUUAUACAAUUCGGUGCAGUGGAGUCCCCUGGGAGGAGCCCCAGUCACACGGGAAGAGACAGUCACAGCUGUAAUAAAUGAUGGCUAGCAUGUAUCAAGCACUGGCCGAGUCCUCAGCAUACAUUACAUUACAGAAUUCAGUGUGCACCUCAACACUCUGGGGGUGUAUUUUAUAGGAGAACUGUGGCACAAAGAGGGGUUUUGCAAUCCCAAGAAGAGUCAGCGUUUGAAUUUUGAAUUUAUGUGCAAAAGAGACAAAUAUGGCUAAAGGGCAUGGGCACACUCUCUCUGGGUCCCCGUGUUAACGAUUUUAGUAGCUUCUAUUUAAAUGGUGCUCUUUCUCUAAGAAGAUCAUUGGGUAUUUUCUGAAAGCUUACAUAAUGGCUGGAAGCCCCCUGCCUCUGCAAAGGAACACCUGAUUCAGAAAAGUAAACACCAUAACAGCAACCCAUUCAUCAGCUGCCCAGACUCACAACCAAGCAGACAUGCAGCGACUUUCCAAAAACCCUCAUUUCUGGCAUUACAGCCUGUGGCAAUAACAGAGUUAAGGAAAGGUAAGUGAAACUCAGAGAGACACAGUGAGAUAAUUAUUCCUCACGCCUGUUAGAAGAACAUUCCACCGUCUCAGAAGAAGCCCUGUCUGAAUCUGAUUCAGCUGAGAAAACAACUCAGGCCAUGGUAGCUGCACCCAACUCUCUAAAUCAACAGUGACCUGUGCUGAAGGGAUUAAGGCAUCCCAACAUUCCUCAGAGCCCAAGGCAAGGAGAAUCCCUUAUGAAGAUGAAAUUGAUCUUCAAGCACCCUCUACCUUACUCUGCGUGAUGCCAUAUUCUUCCUGAAUCCCACCCAACUCAAGAGCAUGAUUUGCAUAAUAAAAUCUCUAAUACUUUGAUGAACAAAUGUUAUCCAAGAUACUUUAAAAACUGCCUUCACGGUGAGAAAUGAACUUAAUUCCAUUAAUUCAUUGUCUGUUCGUUAUUCUAGAAACAUUAUUUGAGUGUUCAGCAUGUGCUGAGCUAUUUAGAGAUGUUUCUGAGGGCUAGGACUAGUAACUGCAAAUCCUAUGCUUUUUUUUCUCUCUUCCACACUGCCUUGGGGAUUAAAGACAGUGGCUCUUAAAUCUGGCUGUGCUUCAAAAUCAUCUAGGACAGGAGUGGGCAUUGGAACACAGACACGCUCAUUCAUUUAUAUAUUGUCUAUAGCUGCUUUGGCAUUAAAAACAGAGAAGUUGAGUAGUUGCAAAAGAAAUCACGUGGCCCACAAAGCCUGAAAUAUUUACCCUCUGUCCCUUUACAGAAAAAGUUUGCUAACCUCUGAUCUAGGACCUCUGGACCAGCAGCAUCAGCAUCACUUGGAAGCCUGUCAAACAUGCAGAAUCUCAGGUCCACCCCAGACCCACGAAAUUUCACUCUCCACUGACCUAGAGAACAUGGAGACACUGCAGGUUUUCUAGCUGCACUCCCACUACCAAAUCAGAAGUGCCUGGGGUGGGACGUUUGUUUGAGAUUCCCCAGGUGAAUCUGAUAUGCAGCCACUAGGGAAGCAGAAAGAUGAGUAAGGUGAUUACUGCCAGGUCUUCCUAUGGGACGGCAGCACCAGAUUCUCCAGCUGCUAGGAGAGUUAGCCGCUAAAGGAUCACAGCUGAGUGCCUCUCCAGGCACUGCUCCUGUGGAAGGAAAUGACCUUACCCAAGGUCACACCUACUUGCUAGGGGAAGACUGCAUCCAGCGCCUGGCCGAUACAGGGUAAAAAGGCCCAGUCUUCUCAAUUGCUGAAUGGCCAUCCCAGCUCCAGAGCUCCCCAGGGCAUCAGCUGAAGCCCCUAUUACAACAGCCAUUCCACUCCUCCCUCUGCCCUGGACUGUGCCCCUCACCCUAUUAGAGAAACUGGGAUGCUGACUGAAUUAUUAUUACAUUAGAGAAUUAAGAAGUUUUCAUUAAUUUUUAGGUGUGAUGAUGGUAUCAUGGUUAUAUAUUAGUUUGAAGUAUAUGAAAUUGCUAAUAUUACACUAUUUCAACCUACAAAAAUAACAAAAUGGUCCAAUCUAAUAUCUUUUUGGUCCAAUCUAAUAGAUAUGGUCCAAUCUAAUAUCUUUUUUAAAGAGUCCCAGUUUAUUAGAGAUUCAUACUGAAGUAUUCAUGGAUGAAGUUACAUGACUUGUGGAAUUUGCUUCAAAAAUGUUUAAUUGGCGAAGUGGAAUGGAGGCAGAGAUGAAACAAGCUUUGCAAUAUGUUGAUAAUUGUUGAAGCUGAUGAUGGGUACAUGGAGGUUUAUUAUACUAUUCUCCAUAUAUAUUAUAUAUAUAUAUAUAUAUAGCUUGAGAUAGGUAAGAGGCCCACAUCACAGGUGGUGUUACUAGAGCUCUCUCCAGUAAGGGUUUACCUCAGAGUCUGUUUCUUGGCUCUGUCUUUAAGAGUAUACAGUAUAAUAGCAGAGAUAAGUCACAAUCAUAAAUAAGAAAACUCAAAAGGGAGUAAGUGUCCUAAAUGGUGUGUGCUAUCAGGGAACACAUAACUGAAGCAGAAGGGCAGGAGCAGCAGGCUUUUGGGGUGACAGGUGGGCUGUGGGAUCAGGUGGGAUGCCCUUUGAGGCACCUGAUCCCAUUGCCCCACCCAUCACCCCAAAGGUUGUAUGGAGAGGCUGGAGAGAAAGCCUUGAAUUCCAUACUAAGACAUUUGUAUUCAGUAGAUAGUGGGAAAUCAUGAAAGGCUUUGAGUGGAAGAAUAACACAAUAAUGAUCCCAGCUGUACUUGGGAGUAUUUACCUGGCAAUAAUGUGAAGGGGAUUGGAGUGGGAGUGACUGGGGGUGUGAAGACUAGUCCAAAAGUUGUUGCAAAUGUCUAGGUGAAAGGCGGUGAGGACAGAAGCUAGCAAUCCAUGAAGGGGCUGGUGUACAGGAAAGACCACAGGGCUCAGAAUGAGACAGACCUGAGUUCCAAACCCCACCCCACUGCUCACAGCCCGUGUACAUUUAGACAAGCCAUCCCACCGCUCUGACUACCCCCUUCUGUAAAAUGGAAAUAACAGAGUUAGCUAAUAAAUCUGCAAAGCCCGGCACAUGCUGAGCACCCAAUUAAUGGAAGCCACACCAUGAGGUCGUAGCUGUGUUCGUUUGUGCUUGUACAUCAUCACUUAUCACCCCAGCAAGAAAGUGUGAGCCUGACUGCUAUGAAGACUGCCCUUGAAAAGUGAUUCUUGGAGGUAAUCGUUUAAUGAGGCCUCGGUUUCAAACAUGCCAGUUGUUUAUUGAGGUGCUUAAGCCUGAAUCAUUCCUCUUAGGAAGGGUGCACAGGCGGUCUCUGCUUCCAUUGUAACCGCUGCCAUGCCCUGUUGUCAUGGUGACCAGUUUCCCAAACUGCCCUGCUAUUUUCUGCAAGCCUUUCCAGUUUCUUAACGCCCUAAAGUCCACAAGCCCUAGAGACAGCAGCAGGUUGGGUUUUUUGAACUUCCACAGAAAACACUGUCAACUCUUUAAAUUUGCCAGUUGGCUGCGAGCUGCUUCUCCAACAGAAGCUCCCAGCCUGAGCAGCAGUGUGACCCUGCACAGCAGACACCCACAAAUGUUCCCACUAACUGGAAAUUGGUGCCAUGGAAUAUUAGCUGGCACAUCAGUCUCUGGCUGGCAUUAAUCUUGCAGGAAAAUAAGGCAGAAGACAAGGGAAUGUCCACCAUGCAUUUCACGUACACAGCACAGUCUGAAGUUAAAAGACCAUUCUA